AAUCUUGUCUCUGCACUUCUUACCCUUUUUUCUCACAACAGAACAUGAAGGUAGUGGAUACUGCUGUGUCCUCUGUGGCCUAAAGGGAUGCCAGAAUAUCACAGAAAAACAGAAUUAUUUAGGCUGGAAGAGGAAUCUGAGAUCACAGUGUCCAGCGUUUGACUGAUCACCACCUUGUCAAUUAGGCCGUAGCACCAAGUGCCACAUUCACUCAUUUGCCGAACACCUCCAGAGAUAGUCACUCCACCACCUCCAUUCCAAUGUUUGACAAUCUUUUCCAUGAAGAAAUGCCUCCUGAUGUACAGCUUGAGGGUGAAUGCCACUGGAGACAAUAUUAAAGGCUUUGGUGAAGUCCAGUAGGCUAUACACACAGCCUUACCUUCAUCCACUAGGAGCAUCACCUGGUAUUAAAGGAGAUCACGUUGGUCAGGGAAGAGAAUGUAUUUGUUGGAUACACAGAGAUGCAGUUCUCAGGCUCAGCUCUUUCCCAUCAGAGGCAGGUAUGUGCUACACCCACCACAUUAAUUAGUGCCUGCUCUGGGCCUCUUGUGGAGGAGGAUUGCAGUUUAAAACAGCUCUCCAUGUCAUUGUGAGUGUUCCCAUGAAAGUACUCUGGCUUGUUAAGACAUUCAA